rnacentral:rRNA from 1 species
AUUGAACGCUGGCGGCAGGCUUAACACAUGCAAGUCGAGCGAGCGGCGGACGGGUGAGUAAUGUCUGGGAAACUGCCUGAUGGAGGGGGAUAAAUACUGGAAACGGUAGCUAAUACCGCAUACCAUCAGAUGUGCCCAGAUGGGAUUAGCUAGUAGGUGGGGUAAUGGCUCACCUAGGCGACGAUCCCUAGCUGGUCUGAGAGGAUAACCAGCAACUCUGGAACUGAGACACGGUCAGGAUUCCAACGGGAGUCAGCAGGGGGGAAUAGUGCACAAGGGGCGCAGGCCGGAUGCAGCCAUGCCGCUUGUGUGAAGAAGGCCUUCGGGUUGUAAAGCACUUUCAGCGAGGAGGCGUUACUCGCAGAAGAAGCACCGGCUAACUCCGUGCCAGCAGCCGCGGUAAUUC